CCAAAAGCUAGAACAAAUUCCUAUAUUUUUACAAUUUUAUUCCUUUUCUACCCUUAUAGAAACCAUAAGCUGAGAACAAAUAAAGAUUAGUGAUUCAAUGAAUCGUGACUUUUAAGUCUUGUAACAUUUUGAUCACCCUCUUCAGUGACCUGACCAAUGACCAUCAUAAAUGAUGAAUUGAAUGCUCACAUUCAUAAUUCAUUGAUGUUUCCACAUUAAAUUCAUAAAUGUCACCAUCACGGGAAUACAAAUCAACCAAUUCAUUAAGGAGAUCAUCAAUUCUCUUUGCACAUUGAUGACUUCAAUAAUCCCUUGGUAAUUGAAUCGUUUAUUCUUUCUCCUGUAGUUGAAUGGUUUGUUGAAUCUUUAUAUUAUAAAACCAGAUAUUUGUAGCAUCGUUGGCCUUCAUUCCCUAGCCAAACUCUUUGCAACCAGUUCUGACCACCAUAGGGGUUGGCCGAUGGCGGUUAUUGGUGAGGCGAACGUCGGUGGUGAUAAUAUUGCAAACGUGGUUAGGAUUUUAAUUAGAGGUGCUCGAUUGCCGUGAAUAGAAGGGUGGCAACAGUUAAAGUUGAUGAAGGACUGUGACAUGGCAAAAGGACGGCGACGGAGCCGGAGAAAGGUGGAUGAGGUGAUUGCGGAGGUCCGACGAUGGGGGCAGCGAUAAUGGCUUCGGUCAUUGACCCAGCGGAUAUUGCUGGACUUGAAUCUGCACUAAAUAACCACAAAGUGUUAGUCUUUUCUUCAUUGAGUCGCUAACCAAUCCGUUUCUAAGAUGCCUCGACUUUGAGUUAAUCCGUUUCUAAGGUAUAUAUAUGGUGAAGUUUGAGCCGGGUUGAAUAGCGGCUAAGGAUCAGUGGAAAUGGGUUGCGGAUCGUGAUGGUUGUUUUUCUAUUAAGUCGGUUAAAUGAUUGUUAAGUGCGGACAGUGAGCAGGAUUCAGGUUUCAUCUUGGACUCGUGCAGUUGGGUGCCAGCAAAGUGCAACAUACAUGUGUGGAGAAUGGAUCUCGAUAGAUUACCGAUGGCGGAAGCACUAUUAAAAAGGAAUAUAUAUGUUGAAGACGCAUCAUGUCCAUUCUGCAACUCGGUCGACGAAUCUGCAGACCACAACUUUAUUGGUUGUCGCUCGGCUUCUAUUGUCUAGAACAGCAUAAGUAAUUGGUGCAAAAUUCUGAGUAUACUUGCAUUCUCUCUUUCUGAUUUGCUCUGCAUUUUUAAAGAUCUAAGACCUCGGAAAAGAAGAAAGCUGCGGUUCAAGGAAUCAUCAUGAUAGUUUGCUUGAGUUUGUGGCGUGCGAGGAAUAACGCCAAGUUCUCGAAUAGUCAGAUAAGGAUAGAAAACAUCAUUAGUGAAGUUAAAGCUUUGAGUUUUCUUUGGUUUUCGAAUAGAUCUAAGUAUAAAGGGAUAGGAUGGGGGGAGUGGUGUUCCUUUGUAAAUAUGUAAUUUAGUCUGUGUUUGUUUCUGUUUGUUGUCGGUCCGGCUUGGGUCGGCGGUUUGUUAAUGAAAUUUACCUUUCAAAAAAAAGCAUCUUUUGUUUAUUCAUAUAAUUAAACCAAAAGAUAUGUUCUGAAUUAUUCAUAUAAUUAAAUCAAGGCUUUAAGCCUUCUCGGGGUUAGAGCAAGGGCUAAACAGGUCUCCUUGACCUGGGAGGUGUGGCAAGGUUUCAAUCUAUCUAGGGUGGGUUCGUAGCUUUGGGUGCAAUGGGUAUUAUUUUAUUUUGUUUGUAAGGUGGUCUGUAUUCUGUACAUCUGGUGUAUGCUAGCUCCCAGCUAGCUUUGGUUGAAUAAAACUUUUUCAUUGGC